rnacentral:rRNA from 1 species
AGAGUUUGAUCCUGGCUCAGGAUGAACGCUGGCGGCGUGCUUAACACAUGCAAGUCGAACGAAGCGCUUAAACGGAUUUCUUCGGAUUGAAGUUUUUGCGACUGAGUGGCGGACGGGUGAGUAACGCGUGGGUAACCUGCCUCAUACAGGGGGAUAACAGUUAGAAAUGACUGCUAAUACCGCAUAAGCGCACAGUUCUGCAUGGCACAGUGUGAAAAACUCCGGUGGUAUGAGAUGGACCCGCGUCUGAUUAGCUAGUUGGUGGGGUAACGGCCUACCAAGGCGACGAUCAGUAGCCGGCCUGAGAGGGUGAACGGCCACAUUGGGACUGAGACACGGCCCAAACUCCUACGGGAGGCAGCAGUGGGGAAUAUUGCACAAUGGGGGAAACCCUGAUGCAGCGACGCCGCGUGAGCGAAGAAGUAUUUCGGUAUGUAAAGCUCUAUCAGCAGGGAAGAAAAUGACGGUACCUGACUAAGAAGCACCGGCUAAAUACGUGCCAGCAGCCGCGGUAAUACGUAUGGUGCAAGCGUUAUCCGGAUUUACUGGGUGUAAAGGGAGCGUAGACGGUUGUGUAAGUCUGAUGUGAAAGCCCGGGGCUCAACCCCGGGACUGCAUUGGAAACUAUGUAACUAGAGUGUCGGAGAGGUAAGCGGAAUUCGAAGUGUAGCGGUGAAAUGCGUAGAUAUUAGGAGGAACACCAGUGGCGAAGGCGGCUUACUGGACGAUCACUGACGUUGAGGCUCGAAAGCGUGGGGAGCAAACAGGAUUAGAUACCCUGGUAGUCCACGCCGUAAACCAUGACUACUAGGUGUCGGGGAACAAAGCUCUUCGGUGCCGCAGCAAACGCAAUAA